rnacentral:lncRNA from 1 species
GAUUAAGAGCAGCCAGGAUAGUCUAGGUAGGUGGGGAGGGGAAAUAAAAGAACCAGCACAUGGCUUGGGCAGCCAGGAAAAUGAGUCAAUUCAGCACAGCCUCACAGUGCUGGUGCCAGUAGGAUAUCCAUGGAGUUUGCAGAAAAAUACCAACACUACAUCUGAGUGGGAGUGACAGACCAGUGCCCAGUGGAGCUACAGGCACUGAACCAGAGGUGGGCAAGGUGUCAGGUGGGGGCUGGCAUGCUCUUGUGCUGCUUAAAUGGCCUGCACACUCCUGUCCUUCUGUAGUGUUCUGAGCCUGGUAGUGAAGCUCAAACAAAGCAAUAGUACUUAACCUGAACAAGACAACAUGACUAGUAAUAGAGCAUCACUGAGCCAUACUUUUAGUCUCAGGUAAACACAGCCAGUGAGACUAGCACUGAGUCACAGGAUGUAAAAUAGUUAUACAAACAAGUAUGCCACAAAACAGCAUCAAGACAUCCCACCUGAGGGAUACAGGACAUUUUCAUUGUUCUUGUGGUCUUUGUCAUUAAACUAUCCCAUAAAUAUUUCCUAAUGUGUGUUGCAGCAAGUAAUUAAUAUUAGCCAAGAUAUACUAGGACUAGACAAAAAUCUCUCUCACCCAAAAGGAUCCUGGUGAUACCAUAAGGAGGACAAAUUCCACCAAACGUGCUGCACUUGUGACAUAGGGUAGCAUUCUAUGUUAGCCUAGGAUAACACCUUAUUAAAUACUGCAGACCACUAUUAAUGCAACCAACCAAAUGCCAGCUAAUUGCACAUAAAAGUCUAUCACUUCAGCAGAGGACUUAUCCAGUCUGCUUUAACACCAUCACUGGGUGGUGAUGUUGUUUAACACCAUUCACAAAUGAAUAAAGGGCUCAUAAUGCUUGCAAUGUGUCCAGGACCUGGCACACUUAGUUUGUACUUAAGGAGCUAUUUCACAUCUUAAAAUGCUUGUGGGCUUCUAAAAACUAAACUGUGGAAACCAAGGCCUCAGCUGUAAGGCAAGUCUUGCUUCCUAAACCUGGUAACCCAUUUUUAAAUUAUGGUACUGCAAUUUCAAAAUUGAUUAGGAGCUUCAGAACAAAGCAUUUCUCUUUUAUGCUG